rnacentral:lncRNA from 1 species
UUUUGAGGAAACCAGCAAGCCCACUGGCCAGCGGCCCGGGCAGAGGCCCGGUCCCUGUGGGUCCCCCAAGGAGAAGCCGGAGAGGCCACGGACAGCGGGACCCGGAAACGGGGCAAAGGCGGGGAGACUGGACCUGCCUCAGAGACUUGGAACCUUUGCAGAGUAUCAAGCCUCCUGGAGGGAACAAAGGAAAGCCCCGGAAGCCAGGAGCGCUGGGAGGUACCACUCUGCGGAUGACAUCCUGGAGGUGGGUCAGGACCAACAGGAGAGGCCGCCGUACCUCCAUGAAAGGUCCCGGUCAUCGCCCUCCACGGACCGCUACAAGCAGGAAGCUUCCGUGGACCUGCGGCGGGAGGCAGAGGAGCCCGCUGAGCAGAGAGAGCUUGUCUCCGCAGCCCUGGCCGAGGAGGGACGGCCCCCCCAAAGACAAGCCGAUGCCCGGAGUGUGGAAGACGGUCCAGGAGCACAGAAGCCGUCCCAGGUGUCUGAGGCUCC